AGCCCGGACACAGCGUGCGCGGCGUGUGCGCAUGUGUGCAUGCGUGAGCGUGCGUGUGCGUGCGGAUUCGCCGCGGGCCGUCAGUCCCAGUAGCCGCGGGAGACGGGCAGUGUCUGGAGGAGGGGGCAGGAGGCCGUUUUUGUCUUCUAUAGCUUCGAAUCAAGACUCUCCUUUUAAAAAUCGGUUAAAGAACAAAGUGAGUGAAAACCUAAGCGCCCCCCCUCCCUCCGCAGGAAGCUCUAGUUCCGGGGCUGCGCGGGCCCCGUUUCUCCGGGGGUUAGCGCACGGGAGUUGGGCGCCCACCGCGUCUGCUGCUGAGGUCGGGCGGCCGCAUCCCGGGGCACCUGGGCCUCUUCGUGGCUCCUGGACUCCACAGCGCAGGCCUCCUCUCGCGCUCGGCUCGGCAAUCCCGGGCCCCUGACCUCUGUAGCCGAGCCGCCCACCGCUUCCUCCCCAGAGGGCGUAAACCCGAAUCCACUCUGGACUCGGGCCUCGGCCUGCGCCUUGGCCGGCGGACCGCCCGGCUCUGAGGAUUCUGGGCGAUGGGGAGGCGGGCUGAGCUCCCCUCCUGACGGGAUUCCGCACGCAUCUGUUUCGGGACCCUGGCCGUGUCCCGGCCUUAACCUCCUCAGCGUUACAACGGGGAUAAUAAACCUUGCUGGCUCGCCCGCCAGGUGGUGGCUGGAUAAUAUAUUCCGGUGGAGGACUGAGGAGGGUUGGCAAAGACUGUCGACUAUUCCGCUGGGUGGCCGUUCACAGCCCUCCCAGAUUGGAGGGUGGAGGGCGGGGGUAGUUCAGCCCCCGGCCUGCGACCUCCCGGAAGAAAGGGGCUUGUGGUCGUUUAGGUUGCGCAGAGCCCGCCACGCUUCCGGCUGGGGCACGUGGCGCCCUUGGGGACCUUCGGCCUCACUGUCCCGAGCUCGGCCUGGGGCGGAGCAGCCUUCUCGGCACCCUGUACUCGGCUCUGCGCGGACCCCACCGUCUCGCCGAGGGCAGCAGCCGUAGGAGACUCCGGAACUUCUGGCCAGAGCAGGAGCUGAGCGUCCCCGACUGAACCCAGGCAGAAAGGGAAGCCCUGUAGGUUGUCCUGAUCUGCGGACGCAGUGGAGGCGACCCUGAGUCUUGCAGGGAAACCAACCCCAGAGAAGACAUUGGCCUCUGAUGGUCAGACCUCCGCGGAGAGUAUCAAAGAAGGAAGUCCCACCAACUCUUCACAAAACUAUAAAACCAUCUAAAAAAAGUAAGCGUCCAUAUGGAUUGAGGGAAACAGUUGAGAAUUAAAAGGCAUCACGACACAGGGCUAUGAUUAUAUAUGCCAUCGUCCAGGAGACCACAACUACUUGCUUAUGAGGACCGCGCUUAUAAGAUUGUUUUCCUCGUCAGCUCUACCACUUCUUACUUUCAGUGUGCGUGCAUCUACAAGUCCAGUGAUAUCAAAGGAUUACAGCCUGAUUUGCCACAAAACUUCUCAACAAGUCUGAUCAUACAAAUAUUCUUGGAGAUUAUUUUAGGAAGCCUAUAUGCUAGUACUUUUGACUGCAGGAAGGGAAACAAAGUUUCUCCGAAGUGGUCAUUUCCAGGAAGCAAGACUUACCGCUCAUAGCUAAAGAAGACCAGUUUCCGGAGAAACAAGGUUCACAGGUAAAUACCUAAUAUUGAGGCUGCUGGAAGUCUGAUUUCCAGGUACAUGGGUCGAGACUGUAUUCCUAUUUGGGGAAGGUCAAGUCAGAGAAACAUGAUGCUACUGAAUAAUACUUCAAUUCCAGGAGCAUGAACUGAAAACCUCCUAGGAAUCAGGCAGUCCUACAUAGUCCCUGACUUUAAGAACACAGACAGAAAUGUAAGCAAAUAAAUUAUAAUUCAGUAUCAUAACAACAAUAGUGGAAGCAUACUCAAAGUAAAGAGACAGCCCAGGGGGAAGAGAUCUGGAAUCUUCACGUGGGAUGGGAGAAGGUUUUCAAGGAAGCCUUCCCAGAAGAGGUGCUAUUAGAGCUGAACAGGGGUUUCUCAAGAUGAAUCAGACUUGGAAAUAGACAAGCAAAGUAAGGAAAGUCAUUCCAGGCAGAGGGAACAGCAUGAAUGAAGCCAUCAAGCAGUGUGGUACCUAUGGGGAUCUAUAAGUUCAGUAUUGCUGUUCCAUAGAAUGCAAGGUAAUUGGUUCCUUUGGGGAAAAUAAUAACGAUAGCCUAUACACAGGGUGCUUUCCACAUGCCAGGCAGUGUUCUAAGUCUUUAUACAUUAGCACGUUCAAUCUUCCCAGCAACCCUGGAACAUAGGCACUAUUAUUAUUCCUAUUUUGUAGAUGGAAAAACUGAGGCACAGAGAGAUUACUAUAUAAGAUGAUAAUACUGCACAGGUUCUAAGGAAAUAGUAUAUAUUUUUUCUUUUUAUUAAAUCAUUUUUUGUUUUCUUUUUUUUUUGAAUUUUAUUUUUUUUAUACAGCAGGUUCUUAUUAGUUAUCCAUUUUAUACGUAUUAGUGUAUAUAUGUCAAUCCCAAUCUCCCCAUUUUUUGUUUUCUUAAAGCAACUAUUUUAAAAAGUCUGGUCUAGCUGUCCAGGACUGAUACACUCAGAGGAGAGCAAGAAAGAGUAAUUGGUGAUUAAAGGAAGAGAGAGGUUUUUUUAAAAAAAAUCUUUGAAAAUAGUGUCAUUUAAAGUAAAACAAUUGUGGUAGUGGUGUUGUCUUAGUUCCUUAAGGAUUUUUAGUGCACAUAAAUAGAAAGGAUAAAUAUUUCUUAUGUGAUUAGUAAGCAAAAAAGAGUAUGAAAAGUGGAAAUAAGUAUGUAUGCUUUUUAAUACUUUACAGAAAGUUAUAUUAAAACUUUAUAAAGGCCCACUGGAUAUUUAUUUUCCCUCCUCCAGUAACAGUCUUAAAUAAAUAUAAUUACUUUUGGACAAUAAAGUGCUUCAACGUUGUAUACUGAAAACCAAUAAAAAAUACCAGUCACUUGGAAGAGGUCCUGUUUGGAGGCUGACCUGGCCCUUACACAGCAGAGUCAGAAGGUGAAAGGUUAAAAGUGCAUACUUGAUCUUAGACUGAACAUAAAGUGUAAACUCCGGGUUUGGUUUUUUUUUAAGCCAAAAGUAGUUUUAUUUCCUUCUCUCUUUUUUUUUUUUUAAAGUUAAUUAGCCACUAAUGUGGACAGUCUUAAGGAUCUAAGUCAAUUAGGACACUUCGUACGUAACUUUUCCAAGCUGAAGCCGCAUGCCCUUUGCAUUUAUAGCUGAUGUACUCUGGAUAAAAUCUCUUUGCAAGGAACAAUAAAAGGCUGAAUGAUGGAGACCAUGAGCUUAGGGUUGAUGUCAUAAAGAAGUUCUCAAUAUUUUGGCACUUCCCUUCUGAUGUGAAGUGUGUUAUUCUCAUUUGGCAGGCGGUGGCCAAGUGGAAUAAGCACGUGCUAAGCCACCGCAGCUCUAAAGUGACAGCAAAAGGCAUCUGCUGCAUUUCCCAUUUGGAUUCUGCAGCCCCUUUGAUUCACACCCAGUUUUUUCAGAUUAGAUCUCUGCCAUUUUACUUAUGUAUGUCGCUACCACAUUCAAUUCACACAUUAUAACCUGCCACACAGCGUAGCUUUUCUUAUCCUUAUAGAUACAAAUGACAGUAUUUGACCGUUUUAUCUUUAGAAUUAUUUAGUAUCUCCCAACAGUCUGGAUCAUUUCUUUUCUUAUACUUUGUUGAAGUACGAUUGACAUGAAAAGUUGUACAAAUGAACUUAUUUACAAAACAGAAAUAGAGCCAUAGAUGUACAAAAUAAACUUAUGGUUACCAAGGGGGAAGUGGGGGGGAGGGAUAAAUUGGGAGAUUGGGAUUGACAUAUAUACACUACUGUAUAUAAAAUAGAUAACUAAUAAGAACCUACUGUAUAGCAGGGUGAACUCUACUCAGUACUCUGUAAUGACCUAUAUGGGAAAAGAAUCUAAAAAAGAGUGGGUAUAUGUUUAUGUAUAACUGAUUCACUUAGCUGUGAAUCAGUUGUGUGUUAACAAAAUCAGCUGUUGUGUUAGCAGAAACUAAUACAACACUGUAAAUCAACUAUACUCCAAUAAAAAUUAAUUUAAAAAAUAAAUAAAAUAACCUAUGUGGUAUUCUAACUCUCCAAAAAAAAUAAGUUAUACAUACUUAAUGUGUACAACCUGAUGAGUUUGGAAAUAAGUAUACACCCAUGAAACCAGCACCACAAUCUAUGCUAUACAUGUCACCUCCAAAAGUUUACUCCUGUCCUCUUUAUUAAUUAUUAUUAUUUAGUGAUAAGACAAUUAACAUAAGAUCUACUCUCUUAGCAAAUUUUCUAGUAUACAAUAUGGUACUGUUAUACUAUAUUGUAUAUGUAUAUGUAUACACUCUGUGCUGUGCAGUAGAUCUCUAGGACCUUAUUCAUCUUGUAUAACUGAAACUUGCUGCUUUUUGACUAAUACCUCCUCUCUCUGCUCUCCCAACCCCUGGUAACCACAAGAUCUUUUCAUAAUGAGUGCUUGCUGCUCUAUUUUUAAUACUACCAACAUUUCCAUUUAAAGGGGGAGACAAGCUUCUCUUAUAGCACAGAGUCCUACAUUUCUAAGUUUAAUUUAUAUUUACGAAUAUAGAUUUACAUAUACAUGUGUAUUUUGAGAGCUAUUUCAGAGGAAGAGUUGACAAGUCUUAAUGACUAAUUGGACAUGGGAGGUGAGGGAAAGGGAGAAUUCGAAAACAGUCCUGAGGUUUCUGGCUUGAGCAAAUCUGUGAAUGGUGAUGCCUUUCAAAGCCCAAAUGGACCAGGGCCCAUUUGAAUACACUGGGCUUGAGGUGUCUGUGGGAUGUCCAGGUGGAAAGGGCCAGUGGGUGGUUGGAUGUUUGGCUUUGAAGCUCAGGAUGGGUUUGGGCUGAAGAUAAGGCACAGGGGUCGUCAGCAUCAAGGAGGCAAUGGAAGACAAAGAUGUAGGUGAGCUCAUCAAUCAGAACAAGUAGAAUUUGAAGAGAAGACAACAUCCUAAGGAAGCCCAAUGUUUGAGGAGCUCUAGUGGAAGAGAAGUCACAGAUGGACUGAGAAGGAACAUCCAGAGGGGACAAGAGGAAAAUAAGGAGAGUACAGGGCCCUAGAAGCAAAAGAAAGGCCACAGCUGAAGGAGCCAAGGGGGCUCAACAGCCACGGGGUCACAAAAGAUCAUAACUGCAAAGUCACCUUUGGAUUUAGCAAUGAUGACAUCAGCGACCUUGAUAGGAUCACUUGCAGUUGAUAAGUUGGGCAUCAUCCCAUUAUAAUAAUAGAAACAAUCAUCUUAAAUUAAUGACAUGGAUCUUUAGAAAUUUGCAAAGAACAUUACACGCCUCAUUUCAUGCUCAUAAUACUCUUGUUAAUUAGAUGUGACUGCUUCCAUUACAUAAAUGAGGGGAGAAUUAGAAAGUCAAGUAAUUAUAUAAUAAUAAAACAAUAAUAGUAAUAAAAAUGGUCUUUCUAAAACAUUUACUGUGCAAAACAUUGUACUAAACAUUUACUUUGCAUAAAAAGAUUGCAAUGUAGAUUUUAUUAACUCAAUUUAAGGAAGGUCCAGAGAAGUGGGGUAACUUUUCCAGGCUCACACAGCUAGGAAAUGGCAGAAUGGGGCUUUGAACUCAGAGCUGUGGGGUGCUGAAGUACAAAUUCUUUGCACUAUUAAAGACUGCCUCACCAGAUGUUCAGGUUUUCAGGCAAAUAUCACUUUAAAAUUUUUUCUUGAGGGCUCCCCUGGUGGCGCAGUGGUUGAGAGUCCACCUGCCAAUGCAGGGGACAUGGGUUCGUGCCCCGGUCCAGGAAGAUCCCACAUGCCGCGGAGCAGCUGGGCCCGUGAGCCAUGGCCGCUGAGCCUGUGCGUCCGGAGCCUGUGCUCCGCAACGGGAGAGGCCACAACAGUGAGAGGCCCGCAUACCGCAAAAAAAAAAAAAAAAAAUUUU